GAACGGGUGAGUAAUACAUAAGUAACCUGCCCUAGACAGGGGGAUAACUAUUGGAAACGAUAGCUAAGACCGCAUAGGUACGGACACUGCAUGGUGACCGUAUUAAAAGUGCCUCAAAGCACUGGUAGAGGAUGGACUUAUGGCGCAUUAGCUGGUUGGCGGGGUAACGGCCCACCAAGGCGACGAUGCGUAGCCGACCUGAGAGGGUGACCGGCCACACUGGGACUGAGACACGGCCCAGACUCCUACGGGAGGCAGCAGUAGGGAAUUUUCGGCAAUGGGGGAAACCCUGACCGAGCAACGCCGCGUGAAGGAAGAAGGUUUUCGGAUUGUAAACUUCUGUUAUAAAGGAAGAACGGCGGCUACAGGAAAUGGUAGCCGAGUGACGGUACUUUAUUAGAAAGCCACGGCUAACUACGUGCCAGCAGCCGCGGUAAUACGUAGGUGGCAAGCGUUAUCCGGAAUUAUUGGGCGUAAAGAGGGAGCAGGCGGCAGCAAGGGUCUGUGGUGAAAGCCUGAAGCUUAACUUCAGUAAGCCAUAGAAACCAGGCAGCUAGAGUGCAGGAGAGGAUCGUGGAAUUCCAUGUGUAGCGGUGAAAUG
rnacentral:rRNA from 1 species